GUUUUGGGCAGCUUCACGAUGGAUUUUGCAAGGAGGAUUAGCAAACACCAAUUGUAAGCUAGAGCCAUCUCCAGCCUUCAAAAAAGCUUUUUUGACGUGGAAACGUGUUUCCAUCUUUUGAAUUUUUCGGACAUGGCUCCAAAACGUGUCAUAGCACGUCUUGUUAUUUUCGUCUCGGAAAUGCUUUCGAAAUGAGAAAACGCACGUUUCCAUGCUUCACAGAUUGCAGAGCCACGGGGAGCACGAGAUGAAGCACCAAAUUUUGGAGGAGAAAGGGUCACCUGA
rnacentral:misc_RNA from 1 species